GGACGAUGCUUUGCCUUUCUGGCUGUCUCUUGAGCAGGGGAAGCCAUGGUGUUUGGCUGCAGUUCUGCCAGCGCCUGCUCACACACCCCCAGGUCCUGAUGCCUUUAAGUAACUGAGCAAAGCAGCCAUCUCCAUUCGUAGCAACAACUGUGCCACAUGUGAAAGAAGGAGAGAGUUUGAGCACUAUAGGCUACUCACAGGCGAUACGUCUGCAAACCCAGAGCCAAGACAGUAGAGUCCGGCUUUGCAGACUCGCCUUCCUGAAGUCCUUGGAAUGCUGGCAUUCCCUCUAGCACUUCUCCCUGCUUUGUAAUUAUCCAUUUACACGUCUAUCAUUCCACUCAAUUCUGAAUUCUCUGAGGACACGGACCAGGAAUCCCUACUGCCCAGGACGGUGUGCAGUGCAGAACAAGGCUCAGCAAAUGUUGAGUUGUGAAAUCUGGGAGGCUCUCUCCUGGCUGUUUGGGAAGUCAGGUCCUUUAGAGGCUAAGAAUACAGGCCUGGAGUCAGCUGGGCAUGGAAUUAAAGGCCUUUUCUCCCACUUAUUGGCUGUCCAAUUUUGGGACUUCACAGGUCCACUGGGCCACAGCAGCCGGUCCAUGGACUCCAGAUCUAGAACCCAUGCUGGGUAGAAACCCCUUCAACUGCUCAGGGAGUGGGAAGCCAGUGAUGUGGCUUCCUAGUAGCUGUCCCCAGCCUCUAGACUGUACCGUCUGGAUCUGCAGAGGCCUGUUCACUGUCAUGCCUUCAUGCAGAUCUCUGGGAGCAGCGUGUGCACCAUGGAUGUUUAAGGAAGCUUAUUGCCAGCAAUGUCCAGAUGACUGGUGAGCCACAGCAAGAGAGGGGCCUGGCUGCGGGAGGGAUCCAGAAAGCAGGGAGCUGAUGGAGGUUUAGGAUUAGGACCUGAGGAAGGGAUGCUAGGGCAAGGAUGCGGGAGGUAGCAGUGGCCUGAACCCUCCUACACUCUGGCCACAGACUUGAUGUGGCAGGAGUAGUUGGGUGGGCAUUUUUCCGCCUGGCAGCAGAGGUCGCUUUCUGUCCUCUCCCCACACCAUACAUCACACUUUCCAACUCCACCAUACUCAACCCCCUAAGAAGAAGAAAGAGGAAAUGAGCUCCACAACACAGGUCUGUUACGGACUGAAUAUGUGUGUCCCCUCAAAAUGCAUAUAUUGAAGCCCUAACACUCCAGUGGGAUGGUAUUUAGAUGUGGGGACUUUGGGAAGUGAUUAGGGUUAGAUGAGGUCACAGGGUAAGGCCCCUAUGAUGGAAUGAAUGGCCUUAUAAGAAGAGGAAGGAAAAGACUAGAGAGCAUGCAUGCGCUGUCAGUCUCUCUCCCUCCCUCCUUGCCACGGGAGGACACAGCAAGAAGGUGGCCAUCUGCAAGCCAGGAAGAGAGGCCUCACCAGGACCCACAUCAGCUGGCACCUUGAUCUUGGACUUCCAGCUUCUAGAACUGUAAGAAAUAAACGUCUAUGGCAUUCUGUUAUGGAAGCCCAAGCUGACUGAGACUGCAGCCCUGCCUUUCCUUUUAGGGUACCCAAAAUGGAGUCCUGUGGCCAACACAAGCCGUGUGCCUCAUCUCUUGCCAUGUUCCAGUAGGGGGAUAUAGCUGUGGCCAAGACAAGUGGGGAGGUAUCUGGGGUGCUCACAGGCAGGGCCUGGAGAGGAGCCCUCUUCUGGGCAACUUACACAGGACUCUGAGAUACUCCUCAGCAUCUCCCCUCCUUGGUGCUAGGCAUGGUGUCUUGCACACAGUGGGAGCUUUAUAUGUGUUUGGUGAGACAUUGAUUAAAAAUAAUAGACAGCGAAUACACGCAGAUGUGGAGAGAGACGGAACCAGCAGUUGCUAGAUUGGAGGAAAGAGUGUAUUCCCGCCUCAGCCCCGCCCUGUCCACAGCUAUGAAUUAAUCUGCGGUGGGGAGCGGGAUUCCUUCAUUAAAAUCUCCAAAAAGGGAGUCAUAUUAACAGCCAGGCACACCGUUCUUUUCCCUCAAGGUAAGAAGAUUCAUGGCUCAAACUUACAUUUUAUCACGCACAACCGAAUAAAAAUGAUCAAUUUCCCUGCCCGCCUUACAGCAUCCUUCCACAGUUAUUAAAGUCUCUAAAAAUGUUUUCCUUAAAAAAAAAAGGUUAAAAGAAAGAGAGGUGCAGAGAGUGCAAACCAAGAAGAAGCUGGGAAAUGCUGCCUAGCUGAGGGCUAUCCAUCUUGUCAGCUGCAGACCACAUAACCUUGAUGUCACUAUAUUUUCUGCUCAUAUCCAAAUUUACAAUUUGCCAGCCAAGGAUAUGGAAAUGCCAAACCUCCCCCUUGGAGGUGGAUGCUGGAAGGUUCUUAAAGAGCCUGAGAGAGAGGAGCAUCCUAGCUCUGAAAACUCCAAAAAGACACUGAGCCUGCUGCUGGACUCUUAGCAAUUUUCCCUGAGUUGGGAAAAACCAGCCUCCAAGGUCAAGGAGAUGGAUUUCAACUCCAGGGCCACACACACAUUCAGCAAGAGCCCCUUUGUUCAUUGAAGAACAAGCAGGUUUCCACUUUGGAGGGCCAGAAAUGUACCUGUGCAAGUUAGGAAAUGGGAGGGUUGGGCCACGCAACAAACAAACUCUGGUGUAAACCAGAGUGAAAGAGAAGUGUUUAACCUACAGGAAAGAGCAAACUGCAUGCCAGCCCUGCAGAGCUCCGCCUUGCAUGCAAACACACAAAUGGGUAAUUAUACAUCAUUCAUCUAGUGGGUCCCCAAGAACC
rnacentral:lncRNA from 1 species